AUGGCACUUUCAAGCUUGUACCCUGACUGUGGGUCAGCCCUCCUGCCCACCCACUCUGGUCCACAGGCAUACAGGCUGUACAACUCCUCCCUGCCAGGGGAUACCUGUCCAGACCUCCAGCUGCUUUUUGCCAUGAAAAGAAGGGAUGUCCCCAGGAUUGAGCUGGCUAGUGAGGAUGGGGUCUCCAUCUUCUGUGACGUGCCCACCGGCCUCUGCAGCCUGACUUUGUGCCUCUGGCACCACGGCAUAUCCGCUGGCCUUCUGGACACCAUGGACAAUGAAGCAGGCACUGAUCUGACGUUGCCGGACGGCUCUGUGGCCCACAGCCUGGAGGAGCUCAGCCUGACCUGGAGGGUGGAUGGUGACUGCAGGGCCACCGAGAAGACUCAGCCAACCUGUUCAGGACAGAGCCCCGCCUGCUGGGCCUUCUUUUAGAAUCCCUCAUUCAGCUUGGGGAACUGCUUCUGGGUG
rnacentral:lncRNA from 13 species